UCACAUCUGCAUGAAUGUUGAUUCAUGCAUUGCUUUAGAGUCGGAACGAGACAAAUCAAAAGGAAGAAAAAUGAAAAGAAACAUUGCCAUUUUUAUUUUAUUUUUAUUAAACUGCAAAAAUAAAUGAAAAAUAGGGAACACCGCUUUUAAUGCGAAAAACAUCCAUUUAUUAAUGAUGCAAAUAAUGCAAAAUGAAACAUG
rnacentral:lncRNA from 1 species